CCGGUUGUCGUAUGUUAUGUUCUACGAAUGUGGACUUAUGACCUGUCUUUGCAUAUACACUUCCUUUUACAAUGAUUAAUUGUUCACAAGGUUUCCACUAUCCGCAUUAUUCGACAAGCAGCACUACACUAUACCUUACUGCACUGCGUUGCCUUUUUAAAUCGUUUGGUUUAUUGUUUAUUCCGGUUAUACGCUAGUUUUAACUUGUUUAAGUGCACUGUUCGCGGAAUCCCUUUCACUUCAAUCAUGACGUUUUGAUUUUCUAAAAUUUCUAACACUUUAUGCGGUCCUGAAUAUUGAUCGGAAUAUUUUCCUCCUCUAGGUUCCUUUAAUAUAUAUACUAGGUCUUCUAUUUUGAAAUUUUGCGGGUUGAUUCGUCUAUCGUAGUAUUCUUUUGAUUUUAACUUGAAUUUCACCAAAUUUUCUCUUGCCAUUUGCUGCACAGUGUUGAUUUUAUCGAACAGAUCUCUGAGGUAUUCUGAGUAUGUUUGUUCCAUGUCUUCUUUGAUUAUUAUUUCACUAGUGGGUUCUCUGGCCAAGUGCCCAAAGACUAAUUCUGUGCAUGUUCCUUCGUGUACAGAGGUAUUAUAAGAAAACAUUGCUAAUUCCACCCAUUCG
rnacentral:misc_RNA from 1 species